AAGCAUCUACUGAUAGACCAUAAGCUCCCAUGGUUGCUUCUUGGUUUGCACUCAGAUGCAAAAGAGAAAUUUCUUGUGCUUUCUGUCAGUCUCGUUCAGUGACUUUCCAGAUUGAACUGAGAAAGACAAAU